GUUGUAUAUACUCGUGAACAAGUUGAGGACCUUGAUACAUUGGUUGGGCUGUUUCUUGGCUAACGCACGGAGGUUUGUGUAUAAACUUGUACCUGCACUAUUUGAACUGCUGGUAUAUUUGAAGGUUCAUAUUGGUAGAUUUGGUUACCUCUUGUCACUUUGCAUUGUUGUGUUGGUAUCCUUUGAGACGUUAACGACACUUGUGUAACUCGCCCACUUGUAUGGAUUGUUUGAUCACCUAGCACUCUUGUUUGGACCUUGUCCUUCUUGUGGAUGUGACUUUGUCACUCUUGGCAUGCCUCUUGAUUCGGAUCAAUUGCCAUCUUGACUUUGGAUUUUUAGUUCGUCUUAAGUAUGGAAGUUGUCCAUUUUAAGUACGAAUUAGAAAGCCAUUUUUAAUAUGGUUCUUGGUUCUCUUGAUUAUUGGGCUUUGACCCUUCUUGAUACAGGGCGUCGACCCUUCUUGAUACUUGCUUGUGCUUGGUGUGAAGACAUGAUGUACAUAUUGGGCGAGCCUUGUUAUUGAAUCUCUUGGAAAAUGAUGCUAUGAGCGUUCUUGACAUUUGGACCUCUAAAUAUCGAAUUUGAUACUCUUGAUAUAUUAUUUACUUGAUUUAUUUAUUAUGUUCGAGUAUGUUGCCCAUGACUUGAGAAAGUUUGCUUGUGAAUUGGAUGGCUCCGAAACUACAGUUUUACACCACUAAGCUAUAUGCUUAGCGAUAGUUGUUUCUAUCGUAGGGAAUGGUCGAGAGGAGGCGUGAAGAAGGCCUUUGAAGAUGGAAAUUUUGAGAGCUUUAAGGAAGAUCACAUUUGCAUUUAGGCAUCUAUAUUUUGUAUAAACCUUGGGACUUGUACAUGAUCUUUUUGUUGUAUAUUUACAUGAAAUUUCGAUGACUAAUGUGAUCAUGUCACCAUGGGUUGUAAAUUAAGUAUGGCAAUAUGUUUUGUUCUUUUGGGGUGUGUAAGCCCAAGUAUUGCAAUAUACUAAAUUUAAUAUUUGCUUUGAAUAUUUGUGUGAAGCAUGAACGGGCUAAUUUCGGUACUUCGAAAUGGGUAAUAUUCAUAUUAUUUCAUCCUUAAGUGUGAAGAUAAUAUAUGCAUGAAAAGCUCAUCGGCUAUUUGCUUAAAUUAUUUUUGGGACGGUUUUUCCGUCAUAAGUUGAAACACCGUGCCAUAUCAAUUUUGACAUCACAUGAAUGUUUAAAUGUACAAGAUGCACAUCCUUAUCUAAAAUUUUUUCCUUUAUGAACCUAAUCCCUCUAUUAGACUACAAUCAAUAUGGCCAUAGUAAGUCUCUUUUAAUUGUCGCAAGUAUUUAAGUAGUUUUCUUGCUUAGGUGGUCGUAUCCUUUCGAAAGGGGUCGUUACACUUGAAGUCCUGGCGCGUCGCGUCCUGCAGCGCACCCAAAACAUGUCCCAGUCCGGCAUCCUCUGGCGCGUCGCACCCUAAACAUGCCCCAGUCUGGCAUUCUCUGGCGCGUCAUGCCUCUCAGCGCGCCCAACACUGCUGAUUUUUCCUUAGUCGUUUUCUUGCUCAUUUUUUCUCCUUCUUUCUUCGCUCCAACUCCAAUUUCAUCGAGAGUUCCUGAAACAUCUAAUCAUAUGUGUGAGUACAUAAUCAUCACAAGUUACACCAAAAAUCAAGCUAACAAUUAAAGAUCAUUCUUCAAUUUAAUCAAUUCAUGGGCAAUAUUGACAACUUAGGCAUCAGGAUUGACUUUUGCCUGCUACCUAUUUGAUUGGAUGUUUGUUUGAAAUCUUGUUCUCCACCCCAUCUCCAUAUGAAUGAAAAGUUAUAUUUUGCCCUUGAUGUUAGGCUCCUGGGCAAUAAAAUAUUUUUUGUUUAGAGCCAAUAGAGUGAAAUUUGUUGGAUAAACAGUUACAAUUUGAAAGAGUAAGUAAUGGAAUAAAUUUAUUAUAAGAGAUAGAUGAAAAAAAAAGGAAUAAUGAGUAUUUGAAAGUGAAAUGAAGUAUCAAAAAGGUGUUUCCAUGAGGUGGGAAUUUUUGGCCUAUUUGAUUUACUUUGUACUUAUCUUUAUAUAUAUAUAUGUGUAAAUUUCAAUGUUUUGUAAUUUGUGUGGAGCAUUGUAUUGUGUUUGGCAUCUACUCUAUUUUCUCAAACAGCCAGCAGUCUUGAGGAAUUAUUCUUGCUACCUUAUGAGGGCCGGUGAAGGGAUAUCCUUAGAAUGGUAUGUUUUAACCCAAAUACAUAUUAAGAAUCUAGUGUCAGCGAGGAACUUGGAGCUUUUUAUUCAAUCUUAUUGUCAUCCUUAUUUUUGGACUACCAGACUACCACAAUUCUUAUUAAGAAUGUUGAUUAGGGCUUUGCUCAUUGUACUGCAAUUAAAAACACAUUUUUUUGUCUUAUAAGUAGUUUAUUGUUAAUACACAUUACUGGAGUGAUAACCUAUUCUAAGGUACUUAAGAUUCAAGAUGGUCUUCUCUUAGCUGCUGACAUUGGAGGUUAGCUUCUAUAUCAUAGAUUUGGUCCCAAUUAGUGCUCCUCUGUUUUUCUCUCUCAAGAAAGUAUAUGUUACAUGGUUUCUUGACCAGAAAAAAAGGAUAGAGCAUUGAAAGACCCUCCUAAAGAAAUUCUCUUAUGACAUUUUAAUAUCAUCAGUUGUUAAAUGCUCUCUCUGUCCCAAAAUAGUAUUAAAUUGGAUUAAAUUUUUUUAAAAUAAAAAUUUAGAUAUUGAAAAACUAUAUAGGAAGUACUACAAGUUGUAAUUGUUUUCAUAUUAAUAUGGUGAAAGAGUUCACAUUAAAAUGUUGGUCAAAGUUCAUAUAGUUUGACUCUCAAAAGAAAAAUGUGACAAGUAUUUGGGGACAGAGAAAGUAAUAACUAAUUUACUCAUGGCAAGAAGUUGUAGUAGUGCAACGUUGGAAGGAAAGAGUUCUUUUUCCAAAUUCUGAAAUUUGGAUUUAAUAAUGGCUGAAAAUGUUACCUCCAUAAACAUGUUAUUUAGAAUAUGGAGAAUGGACAAGUGUUCUACUAGUGCAUGAUAUUUGUUUUUCCAAAUUGAUCUUAUACUUGUUGGCAGUAUAUGUUCUUUCCAGUGUGCCUCCGAAGGUUCUAAAAUUCUUUAUGUUGUUCUAGUCCAUGUCAGAACAUAUGACUAUGAGAGAGUAAUUUGCGAAAACCCUUUUGGGGCUUCUAGUAGACAUUAUUCGCGUUCUAUUUCAUCUCACCUUUCUUCUUCUAAUAUCUUAUUUUUUCCUUUGUUUUUUCUUGUUUCAAUUAAUAGGGGGGCAUAUAUUACAUUAUGUCAUUAAGUGAGUGUUGUUUAGUAACUCUUGACAGCCAAAUUAAUUUCUUUUACUAGUGAAGUACUUUCCCCAACUAAUAUUUGAGUUUGGCUCAUUGUGCUUCCCUUUAAUGAUAUCGUUGCAAGUUUUGUUUAUUGCAUUUGGGUAUUAUUGUAGAGUUGGGGAAUUUGUAUGAUAACCCCAACUAAUUUGCGAGUAAGACAUAGUUGAUUGAUAUCAUAACUUGCACUUUACACUGUAAAUAGCUAUAUCUACUAACUAUGCAAAUAUUCGGCACAAUGUUUUUUUUAUAUAUGAGCUGAUGCUUUAUUGAAUCUACACUAUUUUUUCUUAUUAAGUGUUAUGUUUGCUUCAUUUUUCUUCCUCUAUUUUUACUUGAAUUUGAUGCACUUGAGCCUAGGGUCUUUCGAAAAUAGACUCUCUACCUCCACGAGGUAUUGGUAAAAUUUGUGUACACUCUACCCUCUCUAGACCUCAGUCAAUGGGUUUCACUAGGUAUGUUGUUGUUGCUAGGUGAUAUUUGAUGUUCUUGAAAAAAUAUUGACCAAAAACCCCUUGCGAGCGAAAGCAAGGGGUUUGCCUUCUGGGUCGAGCUCGUCGCACCAGGCUUGCCUAGUGCGGGUUACCUCUCCUAUGUGGUUUGCGAGCUAUUGCAUAGGAGCGGGGGUUUACCCUGUGCGCACCCAAAGGGUAGCGGCUGCGGGUUUCCCUUGUCAUCAAAAAAAAAAAACUCCAGGCCACUAUUGCAGAACUUGGAGUGCAGGAUCUAGUUAGCCUGGGUAAUUUACAUGUUCUUUUUUCUUUACUGAAUAUAAAAUCUUUUCAUAAAUUAAUUAAAGUUGAGGCACAAGCAUAUAUGGGAUAUAAUUGAAUACAGUUCAAGAAAAAAAUAUUUGUGUAUUAAACGUUUUUCGCAUUUAUGAUGGUAUUCUGAAUUAUUUUUUUUCUUUUUUAAGAUGCAGAUUCUAUUGAAACCAAGAAAGCUCAUGGAAAGAAAGAAAGGUCUUGCGAAAUGAAGUAGUCUAUGGAAAAAAUUAUAUGAGACAUGCAAUUGGUAAAGGGAGGUGUGUAAAUGCAGUUUCAUCAACAAAUCUAUAAAGUUGGGAAUAACAUCUCAAAGUUCUGAUUCGAUCAAAACAAGUGAAGCUCAUAAAAUAGGAGAAAGACAUAGUGGUUAAAUUACAUUGUAUCAUAUUGUUUAACAUACUCACAUCUUUGUAAUAAAUUGACUACAAUUGUGACAGAACAUUUGUAUUAGAA
rnacentral:lncRNA from 1 species